AUGGCCUCGAGCUCCCUCCCGCUCCUCGCCCUCCUGGCCCUGCUGGCCCUGCCAGGGCUCCGGGCGGCCGUGACCCUGCUGGAGUCCGGGGGGGACCUCCAGCCCCCCGGGGGGUCCCUGACUCUGCUCUGCCGCGGGUCUGGGUUCAAUUUUGGGAAUUUCACUAUGUUCUGGAUCCGUCAGAGCCCCGGGAAGGGGCUGGAAUGGCUCGCAGGGAUCCAGAGCAGUGGUGGUUUCACCGAGUACGCGCCGUCAGUCAAGGGCCGGUUCAGGAUCUCCAGGGACAACGGGCAGAGCUCGGUGACGCUGACCAUGAACAACCUCAAGGACGAGGAUUCCGGUGUCUAUUUCUGUGCCAAACAUGGUGAUAGUGGUGGUUGGGCUUCGGCUGCUGACAGAAGUCCCAAAGGGGCAGUUCUGGCCCUAAAACGAGAUAUCUGA